rnacentral:rRNA from 1 species
GACGAACCGUGCGAACGUUGUUCGGAAUCACUGGGCUUAAAGGGCGCGUAGGCGGCAGAUCAAGUCCGGGGUGAAAUCCCCCAGCUCAACUGGGGAAGUGCCUUGGAUACUGAUUUGCUCGAGGGAGGUAGGGGUCGAGGGAACUUCUGGUGGAGCGGUGAAAUGCGUUGAUAUCAGAAGGAACGCCGGUGGCGAAAGCGCUCGACUGGAUCUCUUCUGACGCUGAGGCGCGAAAGCUAGGGGAGCAAACGGG